GGGCAGCGGCAAGUAAGCCGAGGGGACGGAGCCGUUCGGGCAGCGGGUCCAGGCGGCGCUCGCUCGGCAGAGGGCGUCCCGCUUGCGGCUAGAGCGGAGCCGGGAGGAGCCUCCUGCGCUGCGCGGCUCGGCUCGACUGGGGAGGAGCUCCUGUUGCCGCCGCCGCCGCUUGUGCCACGUCCACCGGGCUGAGCCGAGCCGAGCCGAGCCGAGCCAGGAAGCGGCUGGAGUCCCAGCACGUGUGCGCCCGCCGCAUUUGAUAUGCAUCCGUUUGUGGUCUGAGCCAGCUCUUGGGACAAACUGAGCUCCUGGUACUAAAGCUUCUCUCUGGUUUGUGGGAACAUGAGACUUCGGAGGGGAAUCUCCAGCUAGAGGUUGACAUACAGGAAUAAGCAUCUUCCUACCUCCGUGGCAUCUUCCAGAACUUAAUUUGGUUUGGUUGACGGAGCGGCCUGAAGAAGAAAGGGAAGAAUGAGACAGCUGAAAGGGAAGCCCAAAAAAGAGACAUCCAAAGACAAGAAAGAGAGAAAGCAAGCCAUGCAAGAAGCCCGGCAGCAGGUUGCAACGGUGGUGCUUCCUACACUGGCUGUGGUGGUACUUUUGAUUGUGGUCUUCGUUUACGUGGCCACCCGUCCAAAUACAACUGAAUGAUAUGGAUUUUUGAACUCUAACUUUGGGCAAGCAUGCCCACCCACUACUCUGCCAAGAAAAAAAAAAGCCUUUCCCAAUUUCCCAGUUAUUAGUAUUCUUUCUACAAAGGAAUCUCCUUUUAUCUUCUUUCUUUUACUUGCUUCAAGCUUUGUGGUUUCUCUCUUGGAAUGUAAAAUAGAACGUAUUUGCUACUAUGGCAAAAACCCCACAAAAAAUAAAUUUUAGGUUCCAGCAUA